rnacentral:lncRNA from 1 species
UGAUUGUGAAGAAGUGUUGGGGAUUUCUACUAUUACUACUUCAUUCCCAACUCCCAACUUGCUGAAAUCGAUGCCGAUUAAGUAUGUAUGAAUCCUCUAGUCUUUUUCUUGUGAUUUUUUUUCCCUUUAUUUCAACAUUGUAUAAUGACCAAUUUUUAAAUUUGUUAAUGCAGUAGCUUUCAAAGUGCAGCAGAUUGGAAUGUGUACUGGAGUAAACUUUGUGAAGAAAGUUUAGAAGGGUUAGGUUGAUUAUGUCACCAAAAACUUUACCACCUGUGGCAUUUUAUUAUGUAAUCUCUAAAAACUUUGCCACCCGUGGCGAAUUAUUCUACUUCAUUGUUAUUAUUGAUUGGGCAACUUGUAGAUAAAUUAAACUUUAUUAAGGG